AACGAACGCUGGCGGCAUGCCUAACACAUGCAAGUCGAACGAGACCUUCGGGUCUAGUGGCGCACGGGUGCGUAACGCGUGGGAAUCUACCCUUGGGUUCGGAAUAACAGUUAGAAAUGACUGCUAAUACCGGAUGAUGACGAAAGUCCAAAGAUUUAUCGCCCAAGGAUGAGCCCGCGUAAGAUUAGCUUGUUGGUGGGGUAAUGGCCGACCAAGGCGACGAUCUUGAGCUGGUCUGAGAGGAUGAUCAGCCACACUGGGACUGAGACACGGCCCAGACUCCUACGGGAGGCAGCAGUGGGGAAUAUUGGACAAUGGGCGAAAGCCUGAUCCAGCAAUGCCGCGUGAGUGAUGAAGGCCUUAGGGUUGUAAAGCUCUUUUACCAGGGAUGAUAAUGACAGUACCUGGAGAAUAAGCUCCGGCUAACUCCGUGCCAGCCGCCGCCGUAA
rnacentral:rRNA from 1 species